GACGAACGCUGGCGGCGUGCUUAACACAUGCAAGUCGAACGGAAAGGCCCUGCUUGCAGGGUACUCGAGUGGCGAACGGGUGAGUAACACGUGGGUGAUCUGCCCUGCACUUCGGGAUAAGCCUGGGAAACUGGGUCUAAUACCGGAUAGGAGCCAUUUUUAGUGUGAUGGUUGGAAAGUUUUUUCGGUGUAGGAUGAGCUCGCGGCCUAUCAGCUUGUUGGUGGGGUAAUGGCCUACCAAGGCGGCGACGGGUAGCCGCCCUGAGAGGGUGGACGGCCACAUUGGGACUGAGAUACGGCCCAGACUCCUACGGGAGGCAGCAGUGGGGAAUAUUGCACAAUGGGCGCAAGCCUGAUGCAGCGACGCCGCGUGGGGGAUGACGGCCUUCGGGUUGUAAACUCCUUUCGCUAGGGACGAAGCUUUUUGUGACGGUACCUAGAUAAGAAGCACCGGCUAACUACGUG
rnacentral:rRNA from 1 species